CAGGAUCCUAUUUCAGUCCGGAAGCAGGCAUCAUCCCUGGUUUCAUGAAGAACCACACAACCCAGAAGCAGGAGUCCCCAUUUCCCCCAGGAGUGUUGUAUCCGAGGACCCUGAAGCAUCCCCAAGGAUCUAGUGCUGUCGACUCCACUCCAAAGCCCAACUUGUGCCUUCCAAAGAUCACACGGGAAAGAAAAAGAAAGAGAGGCAAUUUCUUUGAGGAGGAAAAGAAGUUGAGUUUGGCAAUAAGAAAAAGAAUCCAGCCUGUUGAGAAUCCAGGAAGCCUGCUCAUGGGUCUUGCAGCGUCUUACCGCGAGCAUUCACCACCAGAUGGCAGCAUCGGCCCACGGAUGCUACAACCAGCCACGUCGGGACAAACAGGUUGAGGAUAAGGGGCUAAUUCCAAGAGCAUCUCCCGAUGAGCGCCACCCCUUUGCACCCUCCAGAAGUACACACGCUUCUGCCUUCAUCACUGAGAGGCCCUGUUACCUAUAUAUAGGUAUUGUACGUGUGUGUGUGUGUGUGUGUGACGCGUUCAAUCCAGGACUUCUUGCAUGCUAGGCAAGAGCUCUCCUGCUGAGCUACCCCAGUUCCAGAUGUGGCUCUUUUAAACCCCACCUUACACGAGACCCCUGCAACUCUGAAGAUUCAGAGGGAUCUUGCCUUCGUUCCUUAUUUCCUACGUUAAACACAAGUCACUAGGGAUGUUGCUCAUUAAAUUACAGGUUGGGUGGCAGGAUCUACCCACGUCCACUGCAAUGCGCUGGCAAAGUUGUACCCCACACAUCCAGGACCUGGAGGAAGCUACAAAGAGGGCAGAGCAGGUGCUGGCAUGGCCAGGAGCUGCGACGGAAAUUGACUCUUCUCCUCACUUCUUCAUUCAGUGUAGUCACUUCUCCAUUCUCAUACAACUACUAGUGGUAGAAAAGACACAUUAGUCCAAAUUUCUUUAAUUCUACACCCAUUCUUUGUCUCAGCAUUUCCUACAGUACUGGGAAAACAAGACUAUUCAGUUCUCUGAAUUCAACUGCAAUUGUUUUCCUUCUACAAAUAGGAUCCAGUCUAAUUAAAGAAGCUUGUCAAGUGCUGUGUAGAAAAUUUCCCACAAAAGACAAUCCCUAGUUAAACAGAAUGGAGUGAAAUUCUAGGCAACAUGAAGUGUCACAAAUUCUGCCCAAGAAGCCAGAUUGCCAUGAUCACAACAGCAUUUCAAAUGCCUCGCACCACCUACAAUUUUUAAAGUUUCAUGAAAAUAGCUUAUUUGUUCUUAAAAGGAU
rnacentral:lncRNA from 1 species